rnacentral:lncRNA from 1 species
AAAAGGACUAUAUAAAUAAACCCUCCCUACUUCAUAACUUCACUUUGAGCCAGGACUGCUGGGAAGGACAAACAGACUGGAGAUCUGGGUGUUCUUCAGAUAUCUGUGAAAACAAGCGUCAAAAUUCCCACCUCCUCCUGAGCCAAGGACACAGAUUGCAAUAGGAAGAUAGGGAGCCCAGGGGAAUGGGUGAUGUAAGCAGAGCAGACAGAUAGGUAACCUGGAAGUCCAAGGUCACAAGUGCCAGAGCCUGUUGGGGGAGGAAGGGGGAGGAGCUGGGCUUCUGCAGCUGCUGGAUUCAGAGAGAAUAAGGAGUUUUAUACCUUCCUUCCUCUUCAGUGGUGGUACUUUUGACAAGGAGAAAGUGAAGCUUGUAGAAAGGAGUUUGAAAAAUGCAAGAAGAAGAUGCAAGACCAAACAUUCCAUUUGGAACACCAAGGUUCAAACAUCAAAGAAAGGACCCAAAGUUCUGAGGAUUGUUGCUUAUUCUGACCUCUGCAUCCAGCAAGUCUGAGGGUUCCAACUAGAAACUUGAGUUUGGUUACCAAUUAUAUCCUGGUGCCAUUUAGUCGCCUUUAGGCAAGGCUUUGGACACUUCUUUGCCACAGUUUGCUCCAUCUGUUAAAUGGGAGAAUGUAACUUCUUUUCUGAAUCCCAACAAUUUUUAUAGCAUGAUUAUAUAUGAAUGCUUGAUUUUCUCAGAAAUGUUCAGAAAAUUAUAUCUGUGCAUUAGAAUCUCAUCUCUCAUGUCAAUUUGCUGUGUGACUAAGAAAAACACAAGCAAAAAUUUCUGCAUUUAUCUGAAUAAACAUUUAUCAACUGCCAGUUGUGUGCAAAAUACUAGAUGGUGAAGAUAAAAAGAUGGAAAAAAAUGAGAAAGAAAAACUCCAGUCUGUCCUCAGGGAACUUAUGUUUUUCUAGAAAAGAUACGGUCUUUCGAAGACAAAUUCUAGGUUCUGCUGAUGGAGAGAAGGAAUUGACAACUCAGAAUCACAGCGUCUCAAAGAUGGAAGAGUACUCUGAACAUCCAGCAUGAUCCUUAGUGGAACAAGAAUACUCUACAACCUCCCUGUGCCUGUGUGAAAGAGGAAUUGAGAAAGCAU